rnacentral:rRNA from 1 species
CCUACGGGGGGCAGCAGUGAGGAAUAUUGGUCAAUGGGCGCGAGCCUGAACCAGCCAAGUAGCGUGAAGGAUGACUGCCCUACGGGUUGUAAACUUCUUUUAUAAAGGAAUAAAGUGAGGCACGUGUGCCUUUUUGUUUGUACUUUAUGAAUAAGGAUCGGCUCACUCCGUGCCAGCAGCCGCGGUAAUACGGAGGAUCCGAGCGUUAUCCGGAUUUAUUGGGUUUAACGGGUGCGUAGGCGGGAUGCCAAGUCAGCGGUAAAAAUGCGGUGCUCAACGCCGUCGAGCCGUUGAAACUGGGGUUCUUGAGUGAGCGAGAAGUAUGCGGAAUGCGUGGUGUAGCGGUGAAAUGCAUAGAUAUCACGCAGAACUCCGAUGGCGAAGGCAGCAUACCGGCGCCCUACUGACGCUGAGGCACGAAAGCGUGGGGAUCGAACAGGAUUAGAUACCCUAGUAGUC